AGAAAGCUGUAGCUCAGUGGUAGAGCUUCUGAUUUGCACACAGAAGGACCAGGUCCAAUGCCCGCUAUUUCCA